CAAGUCGUGGGGCAGCGCAGGUAGCAAUACUGGGCGGCGACCGGCAAACGGGUGCGGAACACGUACACAACCUUCCUUCAAGUGGGGAAUAGCCCAGAGAAAUUUGGAUUAAUACCCCGUAACAUAACGAUGUGGCAUCACAUUGUUAUUAUAGCUUCGGCGCUUGUUGAUGGGUGUGCGGCUGAUUAGAUAGUUGGCGGGGUAACGGCCCACCAAGUCUACGAUCAGUAGCUGAUGUGAGAGCAUGAUCAGCCACACGGGCACUGAGACACGGGCCCGACUCCUACGGGAGGCAGCAGUAAGGAAUAUUGGUCAAUGGACGAAAGUCUGAACCAGCCAUGCCGCGUGAAGGAUUAAGGUCCUCUGGAUUGUAAACUUCUUUUAUCUGGGACGAAAAAAGGCGAUUCUUCGUCACUUGACGGUACCAGAUGAAUAAGCACCGGCUAACUCCGUGCCAGCAGCCGCGGUAAUACGGAGGGUGCAAGCGUUAUCCGGAUUCACUGGGUUUAAAGGGUGCGUAGGCGGGCAGGUAAGUCAGUGGUGAAAUCCUAGAGCUUAACUCUAGAACUGCCAUUGAUACUAUCUGUCUUGAAUAUUGUGGAGGUUAGCGGAAUAUGUCAUGUAGCGGUGAAAUGCUUAGAUAUGACAUAGAACACCUAUUGCGAAGGCAGCUAACUACGCAUAUAUUGACGCUGAGGCACGAAAGCGUGGGGAUCAAACAGGAUUAGAUACCCUGGUAGUCCACGCCCUAAACGAUGAUUACUCGACAUUUGUGAUACACUAUAAGUGUCUGAGCGAAAGCAUUAAGUAAUCCACCUGGGAAGUACGACCGCAAGGUUGAAACUCAAAGGAAUUGGCGG
rnacentral:rRNA from 1 species